rnacentral:rRNA from 1 species
AGCAGCCGCGGUAAUUCCAGCUCCAAUAGCGUAUAUUAAAGUUGCUGCAGUUAAAAAGCUCGUAGUUGAAUUUCGGGACCAUCAUGUCGGUCGUGCCUCGGUACGUACUGGUAUUAUUGGUUUCUCCCUUCUGAAGAACCUCGAUGCCAUUAAUUUGGUGUCGUGGGGAAUCAGGACUGUUACUUUGAAAAAUUAGAGUGUUUAAAGCAAGCAUACGCUUGAAUACAUUAGCAUGGAAUAAUGAAAUAGGACGUUUGAUUCUAUUUUGUUGGUUUCUAGGAUCGACGUAAUGAUUAAUAGGGAUAGUUGGGGGCAUUAGUAUUCAAUUGUCAGAGGUGAAAUUCUUGGAUUUAUUGAAGACUAACUACUGCGAAAGCAUUUGCCAAGGAUGUUUUCAUUAAUCAAGAACGAAAGUUAGGGGAUCGAAGACGAUCAGAUACCGUCGUAGUCUUAACCAUAAACUAUGCCGAC